GACGAACGCUGGCGGCGUGCUUAACACAUGCAAGCCGAACGGUAAGGCUCCAGCUUGCUGGGGUACACGAGUGGCGAACGGGUGAGUAACACGUGGGUGACCUGCCCUGCACUUCGGGAUAAGCCUGGGAAACUGGGUCUAAUACCGGAUAGGACCGCACCGUGAGGGUGUGGUGGAAAGUUUUUUCGGUGUGGGAUGGGCCCGCGGCCUAUCAGCUUGUUGGUGGGGUAAUGGCCUACCAAGGCGGCGACGGGUAGCCGGCCUGAGAGGGUGGACGGCCACAUUGGGACUGAGACACGGCCCAGACUCCUACGGGAGGCAGCAGUGGGGAAUAUUGCACAAUGGGCGGAAGCCUGAUGCAGCGACGCCGCGUGGGGGAUGACGGCCUUCGGGUUGUAAACUCCUUUCACCAUCGACGAAGGGUUUCUGACGGUAGAUGGAGAAGAAGCACCGGCUAACUACGUGCCAGCAGCCGCGGUAAUACGUAGGGUGCGAGCGUUGUCCGGAAUUACUGGGCGUAAAGAGCUCGUAGGUGGUUUGUCGCGUCGUCUGUGAAAUUCCGGGGCUUAACUCCGGGCGUGCAGGCGAUACGGGCAUAACUUGAGUACUGUAGGGGAGACUGGAAUUCCUGGUGUAGCGGUGAAAUGCGCAGAUAUCAGGAGGAACACCGGUGGCGAAGGCGGGUCUCUGGGCAGUAACUGACGCUGAGGAGCGAAAGCAUGGGGAGCGAACAGGAUUAGAUACCCUGGUAGUCCAUGCCGUAAACGGUGGGCGCUAGGUGUGGGUUUCCUUCCACGGGAUCCGUGCCGUAGCUAACGCAUUAAGCGCCCCGCCUGGGGAGUACGGCCGCAAGGCUAAAACUCAAAGGAAUUGACGGGGGCCCGCACAAGCGGCGGAGCAUGUGGAUUAAUUCGAUGCAACGCGAAGAACCUUACCUGGGCUUGACAUAUACAGGAUCGCGCCAGAGAUGGUGUUUCCCUUGUGGCUUGUAUACAGGUGGUGCAUGGUUGUCGUCAGCUCGUGUCGUGAGAUGUUGGGUUAAGUCCCGCAACGAGCGCAACCCUUGUCUUAUGUUGCCAGCACGUUGUGGUGGGGACUCGUAAGAAACUGCCGGGGUUAACUCGGAGGAAGGUGGGGAUGACGUCAAAUCAUCAUGCCCCUUAUGUCCAGGGCUUCACACAUGCUACAAUGGUCGGUACAGUGGGUUGCCAGUCCGUGAGGGCGAGCUAAUCCCGCAAAGCCGGUCUCAGUUCGGAUCGGGGUCUGCAACUCGACCCCGUGAAGUCGGAGUCGCUAGUAAUCGCAGAUCAGCAACGCUGCGGUGAAUACGUUCCCGGGCCU
rnacentral:rRNA from 1 species